GUCUGCUGUGAAAUCCCGAGGCUCAACCUCGGGCUUGCAGUGGGUACGGGCAGACUAGAGUGCGGUAGGGGAGAUUGGAAUUCCUGGUGUAGCGGUGGAAUGCGCAGAUAUCAGGAGGAACACCGAUGGCGAAGGCAGAUCUCUGGGCCGUAACUGACGCUGAGGAGCGAAAGCAUGGGGAGCGAACAGGAUUAGAUACCCUGGUAGUCCAUGCCGUAAACGUUGGGCGCUAGAUGUAGGGACCUUUCCACGGUUUCUGUGUCGUAGCUAACGCAUUAAGCGCCCCGCCUGGGGAGUACGGCCGCAAGGCUAAAACUCAAAGGAAUUGACGGGGGCCCGCACAAGCGGCGGAGCAUGCGGAUUAAUUCGAUGCAACGCGAAGAACCUUACCAAGGCUUGACAUACACCGGAAACGGCCAGAGAUGGUCGCCCCCUUGUGGUCGGUGUACAGGUGGUGCAUGGUUGUCGUCAGCUCGUGUCGUGAGAUGUUGGGUUAAGUCCCGCAACGAGCGCAACCCUCGUUCUAUGUUGCCAGCGGGUUAUGCCGGGGACUCAUAGGAGACUGCCGGGGUCAACUCGGAGGAAGGUGGGGAUGACGUCAAAUCAUCAUGCCCCUUAUGUCUUGGGCUUCACGCAUGCUACAAUGGCCGGUACAAAGGGCUGCGAUACCGUAAGGUGGAGCGAAUCCCAAAAAGCCGGUCUCAGUUCGGAUUGAGGUCUGCAACUCGACCUCAUGAAGUCGGAGUCGCUAGUAAUCGCAGAUCAGCAACGCUGCGGUGAAUACGUUCCCGGGCCUUGUACACACCGCCCGUCAAGUCAUGAAAGUCGGUAACACCCGAAGCCGGUGGCCUAACCCUUGUGGAAGGAGCCGUCGAAGGUGAUC
rnacentral:rRNA from 1 species